AAUACGAAAGGUUGUGCUAACAUAUGUUACAUGUUUGUUUAGUGCUUGCAGCGAGGGAGUUGGUUCUACCGGAUAGUAGUUGUUUGAAGUGUAUGGUAACUGUUUACAUAUGUAACCUUUUUUUGGGUGGUUUUGCUUAGUUUUUUUUAUGUGUGAAAUGAUGCAGAUAAAAACUCAAAAUUUGGGGAGUCUUCAAGUUCAGGGCAUAAUUGGGUAGAAGCAGUUGCAGCCAAACGAGAAGGGAUCUUGGCAGGAAGAUGGAGAAACCGAUGAAGAAGGGGAACAAGAAGUCGAUGAAGGGCAGGUGGUGGGUACAUUUGACGUUGUACAGAAGUUACCCUCUAGUGUAACACAUGUUACAAACAUGUGUUACAUAUGUUCAACCCCUUUGUUACCAAAAAUCGGGGCUGCACAUAUGUAAGACAUGUUUGUAACUUAUGUUACACUAGAGGGUAGCACAUGUAUGAUCAUUUUUGGAUCAUUUGUAUAUAUUUAAGUCUGUAUAAACCUACAACAUCGAAACCCCCAAAAAGGUUACACAUGUUAUGACAGAAUGGGAAAUGUGUAGCAGCGUUCAAUACUGUUGUUUCACUCUAUAGUGUGUAACAUGUGUGACAUGGCGUUUGUCAGCAAAACAUAUAACUUGUAAGGUGAUACGGUUGUAUCUUUAAAACAUGUUUACCUAUAAAUACUUACAUGUUACAGGUUG